AUAAAACAACGGCAGACUUUAGGCUUCUCAAUGCAUACUUGAAAUAAAUGUAGGUUUCUCGAUUUUGUUCUAAUCUUUCUCGAUGCAUACAACGAAUCCUUCCACUGUAAUUACCCUCACGUCUUAUUAAAUUUAGUCUAAUUUCGUUCAAUUAUCAAAGGCGAUUUCGAUAUCGCUUCAAAACCCAAAACCCUCUCCACAAACCCUUCUUCAUUUGUAUUCUCUAACCAUCAUCUCCAACCCCAACAACAACAAAAACAAUUUCAAUUACCACAAGUUUCCGAAUGCUCUGUUAAUUUCUCACCUCCCGAGAGCUUUCUCAAAGACCCACUACUUCCUUUCUCGAAUCUUCCCCUCCUAAACCAUGUUUCAAUGACAUGGACAUCGAAAUUGAUCAAUUUAAGCAAAAACAGAGGGAGUCGGGACGUCCUUUACAGUAGGUUGCAAAUGUUGUAUGCUUUACAUAUUCUUUGGUAUAGAUUCUGAGAGUAGGUGAAAUGUUGGCAAUGGCGUGCCUGUUAUAAUUUCUUUGCAAGCUUUCAGGAAAAGGAGCCCCUCGAGUUAAAGAAAGAAAGAGGUUAAUCCCAAAUUCGUGUCUUCCGAGAAUGAAGAAGAUAAUGUUGGUACUAAAUGUUUGAAAAGCAUAGACAACAAAAUGAAGGAAAUACUCCAAAGUCCGACACCGAAAUCAAAGAUGAAUGUUGAAGCAACAUCGGAAUCCUUAGAGGAAAUAGUCUGAGUUUAGAGAGACUUUCAAGAACAAAAAUCCUACCAACAAAUAUGUUGAUCACAAGUGCGGCUACUUAACACUAUAUGUGUAAUUGCCAUUUCAAUCUUGGUGUGGCUGCAAAUGAUGAGAUACUGCAUUGAAAAUGUUGUUGGUUGAGUUUCAUUUUUUUCUAAACUUGGUAAACCGUUGAUUCCAUUUUUUUUAGUAUCAUCUUUAAUUGUUACUCUCAUCAUAUUAUAUAACUUAUAAUCUUGGCACUGGUUUUUCUUAAAUUAUUUGGUUGCAAAUAACUUUGACAGGAUUUAUGUUCUUACUAAUAUCUGUGUUGCUACCACUGCGAAGGUAAGUUGGUUUUUGGAAAACAAAUUGUUAUGAGUUAUGGGAAAGAUUAACUCAUCUCUGAUGCCCUAUCACCGGAGCCUUCAAAUUAAUAAGUAACAGACUUAACCAAAGCAUUUGAACAUUUAGUUGCUCCAUAUCCAUCUCCAUCCCAGGAUAAUAUUGAUCAAGGUAACACUAUCUCCUUAAACAUACACCAAGUAGUUCAUCAUGUUAUUUAUUUUUUAGAAGUUUGUGUGGUUGCUUUGUAGCUCAUAUACUCACUAAUAAGUAUCGACUAAUCGCCUGCGAUUGCCUUGAAUGAGCAGGUGAACUCCAAACUGCUCAAAUAGCUCAUGAGUUAGAUGUUAAUACAUCACAGGUUAGAAAAUGGGUUACCAAGGUGCAACAAUUAUUGGGGCUUAGUUAUAGCUUUGGGUAUAAUUUAUUAUUUUGAUUCUAAAAGGAAAUGCUUACUUCUGAUGUUCAGAAUCACAAGGUCUUUUUGAUGAGUCUGUACUGAAAUAUUUUUUCAUUUAUUGGUUAGGGCCAUGUGUUGUAUGACAUGUGUUAUAUGGAGUAAGUCUUGAUUUCGAAAAUGUCAUGAUUAUUAUACUGUUUCCGCUGAUCUAUUUUACAGUUAUGUGUUCAUCAUUAUCUUUGUUGAUGUAGCUUUUUAUGUCUACAGGCCAUGUAUAAUAUAAUUUCAACAGCCAACAUAUAGAUUGACAAAUAUUUCAGUGCUAAGCUUUCCGAGUAUGGUUGCGUUGGACAUAUUCUUGAGGAAGAAAUUUCAAGCAGUUCAUCUGCUGUUAGAAACCUAUCAAUGGAGACAAUAGAGAAAGGAAUUCUCUCACCAAAGAUAAUUUUGUGAAGCUUUGGAAUUUUUCUUUUGGAAUUACUUACCGGGAGAAAGAAUCUCGAUAGUCAUCACCCUAAGGAAGAGUGGAAUUUAGUCAAAUGAAGCAGACCUUUCUUAGCUGAUAAAAUUGUUGUUUGAAUGAAUGAAAUGUUUGUGGCUGUCAAUUGAAAAAAAAUAUGUUUUAGUUUUAUAUAGAGCUUAUACAAUUCGGUGGUUUAUAAGGUGGAAAGAUAUUCGUUCUUAGGUGUUUAUAGGGUGAAGGUAAUUCUCUUGAAAUGUAUUCAAAAUAUUUUGCGUUUGCCAGACAUGGAAUUGUGGAUUGGUGUUA